rnacentral:rRNA from 1 species
GACGAACGCUGGCGGCGUGCUUAACACAUGCAAGUCGAACGAAGUGGCGAACGGGUGAGUAACGCGUAAUCAAACUGCCCUUCAGAGGGGGAUAACAGUUGGAAACGACUGCAAAUACCGCAUACUGAAGGAGGGGAUUGCGUCUGAUUAGCUAGUUGGAGGGGUAACGGCCCAACAAGGCGAUGAUCAGUAGCCGGUCUGUGGGAAUGAACGGCACGAUUGGGACUGGGACACGGGCCAGACUCCUACGGGAAGCAGCAGUGGGGAAUCUUCCGCAGUGGACGAAAGUCUGACGGGGCAAAGCCGCGGGAGUGAUGACGGCCUUCGGGUUGUAAAGCUCUGUUAAUCGGGACGCGGUACCGGAAUAGAAAGCCACGGCUAACUACGUGCCAGCAGCCGCGGUAAUUC